rnacentral:rRNA from 1 species
GAUGAACGCUAGCUACAGGCUUAACACAUGCAAGUCGAGGGGUAACGAGAGGGAAGCUUGCUUUCCUUGUCGACGACCGGCGCACGGGUGAGUAACGCGUAUCCAACCUGCCCCCAACUAGGGAAUAACCUUGCGAAAGUAAGACUAAUACCCUAUAAUUUCCUCAGAUGUCAUCUGACGAGGAAUAAAGAUUUAUCGGUUGUGGAUGGGUAUGCGUCUGAUUAGCUUGUUGGCGGGGUAACGGCCCACCAAGGCAACGAUCAGUAGGGGUUCUGAGAGGAAGGUCCCCCACAUUGGAACUGAGACACGGUCCAAACUCCUACGGGAGGCAGCAGUGAGGAAUAUUGGUCAAUGGGCGGAAGCCUGAACCAGCCAAGUAGCGUGCAGGAUGACGGCCCUAUGGGUUGUAAACUGCUUUUAUACAGGAAUAAAGUUAGCCACGUGUGGUUAUUUGUAGGUACUGUAUGAAUAAGGACCGGCUAAUUCCGUGCCAGCCGCCGCCGUAA